UACCACUCUCUCACCCGAGCAGGUCAAUGCACCCCAUUCCCCAGGUCAACAACAGGCAGUGGGGAUGUGCCCAGAGAUGAAGGCAGAACUUCCUCUUCCUUGGCUUUUACAGGAUGACAUAGGUGUGUCAGAGCAAACGCAUCUUACAGUUCUCCAGCAGCUUCUUGAAGGUUUAGUUUCCUGGAAGCCAAUGAUCCUGCUCAUCUCAAAGGGAAGAACAGCUUGACCCCCUUCCUCCUGACUUUGAGACAAAAGAGAGAAGACUCCAGAGUGGUAAACCUCGAGGCAUGAGAUUUUGAUUAAGGCACAUUAGCAGUGCACCCUGACAAGGAGUGAAGUGGAGAUGAUUUUGUUAUUUCAGCUGGCAGAGGCCCUUCUGAAACAGAUAAACACACACAGUUCUCAACCAAAGCCAUGUCUGCUCCUGACCACCCUUCUUGGGCUCCUGGGGCUGAAGCCCAGCUGAAGUUUGA